rnacentral:tRNA from 2 species
CAUGGAGUAGAUCAGGGGUAGAUCGCCCGGCUCUUCACCGGGAGGGCGCAGGUUCGAGUCCUGCCUCCAUGUCGA